CGUUCAAUCUUAAUUACAGCUCGCUGGCACGCAUUGUUCUAAACAAAUUAAGCAUUUAAGACAAGUUUAAAUGCCUCCAUACAAGAAAGAGCCGCACUCCUCACCAAUGAAGCUCCAUCUCGGAAAUGCUCCCUUACAGUUCCCAUCCACAAAAGGUUGCAACAAGCAAACAGCUGUAGAAUACGAGAAGUCUUUGUUAGUCGGAUUUGUCAUAACAUAUUGGGCUUACUUACGAUUCAAUGCGCCCAAAGCCCCGCCGAACAGUGCAAAUAGGAGGCAGAUAACACUAAUGGGUUUCAUAGUAGUUUUGAAUUGUGUCUAAGGACGUUUUAUCCAAACUGUGGAUGGUCUUUCUUACUUUUAUGUAAUUGCUAAACAUUCAUUCGUCAAGCUAAAUUUGUAUUGGUAUUAUAUAAGCUGUGGAAUGUACCGAUAAGUGGAUCUAAUUAAAUAGUAUAUAAUCUGGAA